UACGUAGGUGGCAAGCGUUGUCCGGAUUUACUGGGCGUAAAGAGCGCGCAGGCGGCUGGUCAAGUCCGAUGUGAAAGCUCCCGGCUUAACUGGGAAACGGCAUCGGAAACUGAUCGGCUUGAAGGUGGGAGAGGGUAGUGGAAUUCCCGGUGUAGUGGUGAAAUGCGUAGAUAUCUGGAGGAACACCGGUGGCGAAGGCGGCAUCCUGGACCGGUAUUGACACUGAGGCGCGAAAGCCAGGGGAGCAAACGGG
rnacentral:rRNA from 1 species